rnacentral:rRNA from 1 species
AGCAGCCGCGGUAAUUCCAGCUCCAAUAGCGUAUAUUAAAGUUGUUGCAGUUAAAAAGCUCGUAGUUGAAUUUCGGGAUCAAUUUGUCGGUCGUGCCUCGGUACGCACUGGCUUAUUGGUUUCUCCUUUCUGAAGAACCAUGAUGUCAUUUAUUUGGUGUCGUGGGGAAUCAGGACUGUUACUUUGAAAAAAUUAGAGUGUUUAAAGCAGGCUCACGCUUGAAUACAUUAGCAUGGAAUAAUGAAAUAGGACGUUUGAUUCUAUUUUGUUGGUUUCUAGGAUCGACGUAAUGAUUAAUAGGGAUAGUUGGGGGCAUUAGUAUUCAAUUGUCAGAGGUGAAAUUCUUGGAUUUAUUGAAGACUAACUACUGCGAAAGCAUUUGCCAAGGAUGUUUUCAUUAAUCAAGAACGAAAGUUAGGGGAUCGAAGACGAUCAGAUACCGUCGUAGUCUUAACCAUAAACUAUGCCGACUAGGGAUCGGAUGAUGUUAAUUUUUUAAUGACUCAUUCGGCGCCUUACG